rfam:Candidate division WOR-1 bacterium RIFCSPLOWO2_02_FTLL_46_20 rifcsplowo2_02_scaffold_235, whole genome shotgun sequence.
GCCGCUGUGGCGGAACUGGCAGACGCGCUUGACUCAAAAUCAGGUUGGGUUUACCCCAGUGUCGGUUCAACUCCGACCAGCGGCA